GCCCUUGUGGCGCAAUCGGUAGCGCGUAAGACUUGCAAGUACCCCACCACCCCUUUAUUACAGCAUCCUUUGCUAACUAUCUCUACAGCUAAUCUUAAGGCUGUGGGUUCGAUCCCCACCAGGGGCU
rfam:Aspergillus niger supercontig An14